rnacentral:rRNA from 1 species
UACGAAGGAUCCAAGCGUUAUCCGGAUUUAUUGGGUUUAAAGGGUGCGUAGGUGGCUUAUUAAGUCAGUGGUGAAAGCCCGGAGCUUAACUCCGGAACUGCCAUUGAUACUGAUGAGCUUGAAUAUAGUUGAGGUGGGCGGAAUGUGUCAUGUAGCGGUGAAAUGCUUAGAUAUGACAUAGAACACCAAUUGCGAAGGCAGCUUACUACCCGAAUAUUGACACUGAGGCACGAAAGCGUGGGGAUCAAACAGG